CUCAUUUCUCCCUCACUGUGCGUCUGCGGCACGCUCAUCUCUGCUCACACUGUAGGGAGGCAGAGUGUACCUGUGCACAUCCCACCACCCGGCACACGAUGGGGCUGGAAACUGAAGACGCAAGGAAGUAAAGCGGCUUUCCUGCUCCCCAGGAGGGAGAACUGCUGAGAAGGAAGCGCUGUGGUGGCCUCCCCAGAAGGACAGAACCAUCCGGCAGAUGGCGCUGACGAGGCAGAGCCUGCUUCCGGACCCCUCACCCCUGGGCAGAUUCUCGGGUGCACAGCCGAGUCCUCUCGUCGGCCUAUAUGUGACCCUCCAGCGAUCCCGUGUCUUUCCCCGCGUCCCACACCCACCCUGGUCUCGUGACCACUCCUGUAAACCUUCCCUGCCCUGCAGCCUGGGCUUGUGGCUCCUCACUCCACAUCUCCAGUCGAAGCUUCAGGAACAUCACAUUCAAACGUGCUAA
rnacentral:lncRNA from 1 species